rnacentral:rRNA from 1 species
UGGGGAAUCUUGCACAAUGGGGGAAACCCUGAUGCAGCGACGCCGCGUGAGCGAUGAAGGUUUUCGAAUCGUAAAGCUCUGUCCUAUGGGAAGAUAAUGACGGUACCAUAAGAAAAAGCCCCGGCUAACUACGUGCCAGCAGCCGCGGUAAUACGUAGGGGGCUAGCGUUGUCCGGAAUCACUGGGCGUAAAGGGUUCGCAGGCGGCAAUGCAAGUCAGAUGUAAAAGGCAAAGGCUCAACCUUUGUAAGCAUCUGAAACUGUAUAGCUUGAGAAGUGUAGAGGCAAGUGGAAUUUUUAGUGUAGCGGUGAAAUGCGUAGAUAUUAAAAAGAAUACCGGUGGCGAAGGCGACUUGCUGGGCACAAUCUGACGCUGAGGAACGAAAGCGUGGGGAGCAAACAGG